rnacentral:rRNA from 1 species
UACAGAGGGUGCGAGCGUUGUUCGGAAUUAUUGGGCGUAAAGGGCGCGUAGGCGGCGCCACAAGUCACUUGUGAAAACUCUGGGCUCAACCUGGGAAUGGCAUCCGAUACGGCGGGGCUGGAGUGUGGGAGAGGUUGGUGGAAUUCCCAGUGUAGAGGUGAAAUUCGUAGAUAUUGGGAAGAACACCGGUGGCGAAGGCGGCCAACUGGACCACAACUGACGCUGAGGCGCGAAAGCGUGGGGAGCAAACAGG